AACACUUAUCAAAAACGAAAAUGAUAACCUUAUUCAUACACCAUUCCGAUGGAGUAGCGAAUAAUUAAUUACUCUCAUCAUCAUCAUCUUCGUGCAGGAAGAGGAAGAGGAUUAACUCGAAAGACGGCGAUGACGACGACGACACAAACUAUUAGUAGUUUCCAUUUCCUUAAAAACCCAUGGACACCAACAACAACACAAACAAUUCUUCGUCCAAUGAAUAGAACAAUAAGAGCUGCUGCUAGUGUUAGAAGCCUAAAUCGAAAGCCGCUCCAGAAAGGUAGAAACCUCAGCAUCGAAGCCAUCCAAACAAUACAAGCCUUAAAACUAGCUUACAACAACGACAAGUCGCUGCUUGACCAAGUCUUCCGUUCUAAAUUCAGCCGAUUGUUGAAGUUCGACAUGACUGCAGUUCUUCGCGAACUCCUCCGCCAGAACCACUGCCUCUUGGCUCUCAAGGUUUUUGAGGAUAUUCGAGUGGAGCACUGGUACAAGCCAAAGGUGUUGUUGUAUAAUGACAUGAUUCAAGUAAUGGCUAGCAAUGGAUUCAUUGAAGAGGUUCAACUUCUUUUUAGGUACCUGGAGAGUGAAAUUACAGGUGAUUUACAGUUUAAAACAGAUGAAUUUAAUCAACUGUUGGCAACUCUGAUCAGUUUUAAGCUGGGUGGACUUGUUAUGGAGUGCUAUGAAUGGAUGAAGUCUGUUGUAGUAGGGUGUGAACCUGAUAGGUCCACGUUUAAAUUACUUGUGAAAGGUUUAGAGUCGAUUGGCGAAUUCGAGCUUUCGGUUGUUGUAAGGCAGGAUGCUUACAAGUUUUAUGGUGAAUCCCUCGAUUUUGAGGCGGAGGAGGAAGGGAUAGCAAGUUGAGAUAGAUCAAACAUUCAGGUUUUGAACUGGUUGAUUCAUCAGCAGUACAGUACCCUGGAAUGGAAUGCGUGUUCAACUUCAUUUUGCUAACACCAGUUUUGCCAUGCCAACUGCCAAGAUGAAUCAAAGUAGCAAAUCUCAAAGCACAGCUUAGUUCAUAAAGCAAGGAUUGCCUGGUAGAGAAGUCAUGGUAAGAGAUACAUAUCUUAACCUUUUCUUUUGACUUUUGAAGUGAACAUAAACCUUAACGUUUCAGUAAUUACACAUUUCACGAGUUGUUAACUUUCUACUCAAUAAAAGCAGGUAAAGAGACAUAACUGGGACCUUGUAUUCCUAUUUUUCCCAACUUUCCUCUCCGACUUUCUUACCUCCGUUUGACCAAGUACCUACUUCUUCGCAUAGCUUGGAGAAAGCAAAUGGAAGCGUGAACCUAUGCCCGACUCUAAAAGCCUCUCAUACUAGAAUUGCUUGCCUUCAAAUAUCUGGCCAAAUUGCCAGUUUGCUGGUGCAACAUUGUAAGAUGUGAGUGUUCUUCUGCUGCUGGUAGUCACCUCGAAAGAUAGAGGCUGUCCAAUAAGGUUGAUAUUGGAUUGCCAGUUUUGUCCCCAGUUUCUUGCCAUAGGUAUCCACGCUGUUCUUGAUCCCUUCACUUUCACAGCAAUCACCUCACCAUCCAAUCCCACAUUGCUGAUGAGUACUUGAUAAAAGUGAAAAUUUCCACUCAUUGUGAAUCUUAGCCCACCCCUUCUAUCACACUUCACCCUACAAAAAUUGGCAUAAACAAUGUUCGCCCAGCCAAGGAGUUAGGAAAUAGAGAGGCCUAUACUCAUUUGACUCAUGUGACCAAGUAAUUGUACAUUGAUUGGUGAUACCUUCUGUGUUGAACUGGCACAACAUCAGCCUUUUUCUCUGCGAUUUCAGCAAAUGCCGCUUCUGACAUGUCAAAGUGUUCUUUGGGGAAAUUACACCAGCCACCAUAAUCCGAUGAAAGCCCGUAAUUUGGAGGGCAGAAAUCUGUUGCAGUGAGAAUGACGGAGGGGCUACCCUGCAGGCACCAUAAGAUGUGGUCUACACAUCUGACCUCGAAGCAAGCCCCACAGGUACUCCCUCUGUUGAACAGCAUGCUACUUAGUCCAGCACUGUAUUUUCCAUAGGUGGCCCUGUGAAGGUCCCCAUACCCACAAGCACCUUCUGCAACAUUAAACAAUGGUAGUUUACUCUUUGCAAUCAAAACUGAAUCUUUUGUGAAAUAUGAAGCACCAUUAUGAGUUGAAACAGAAAGUUUCAGAUUUAGUCGGAACAGUUGCCAGAAAAUUACCUACAAUGAUGGAUCCACUUGUCUCCUUAACGUAUGUUGCAGUAGCAGACUUCCAUUCCUCAUCAUCAGCUGUGAUCUUCCAUGUUUGGUGUAUAAUCAAGUAGAGAAGAAUGGCUUUUAGAGCACCCAUUUGAUAUAAAAACGACUAUGAGAAGUCUGGUUUGUACUUGACGAGGUUCUUUUCUUUUAUUUUGUUCCCUCCCUUUUCUUCUACCCUGUGAAAUUAUGGCCUUGAGUGUAGAGAAAGGCCACCUUUUCUCUGGGAAAUGACCUGAAUCUCCUUGCUGAAAUGAAGCUAGCUUUGUUGGUUA